rnacentral:rRNA from 1 species
AACGAGACCUUAACCUGCUAAAUAGCCGGGCUAGCUUUGGCUGGUCCCCGGCUUCUUAGAGGGACUUUCGGCUCAAGCCGAAGGAAGUUUGAGGCAAUAACAGGUUAACCUACACAGGCCUGUAACAGUGGGCCUCUUUAAAGAUAACUGCUAGUCCAACAUCUUGACCCUCUCGGGGAAGUCCCCUACUGUCGGGAGAGGGCAGGCUACGGCCUGUGAUGUGGGCGACACCACCUGGUACAGGGAACGCC